rnacentral:lncRNA from 1 species
UCCUGGCGUUUCUAUGUAAAUAGGAUAUUAAAAUAUUAUUCAAAAAUAAUAUGUUAAAUAGUAAUAGAAAAUAAUGUUUCACCAUACGCAAUUUGUUAUAAUCCGAGCCACAGAUACGAACAAAUGUUUUAUAUCACAAAUAUGUGCUCGAUAUUUCACAAACAGAUGUCUGAACAGAACAUAUCUUGUUUCCACUAUUUUCACUCUGAUUUUCUUCUCGCUUUUUACAAAUCACACAACAGGAUUUCAAAACUUGGAUAAGCUUAAUUCUGAAACGUUUGUCAAAGAAGGCAUAUAUAAAUGGAUUGGCAACAUGGUUUAAAAUGUACGAUCUUU